rnacentral:rRNA from 1 species
GAUGAACGCUGGCGGCGUGCCUAAUACAUGCAAGUCGAGCGAACGGACGAGAAGCUUGCUUCUCUGAUGUUAGCGGCGGACGGGUGAGUAACACGUGGAUAACCUACCUAUAAGACUGGGAUAACUUCGGGAAACCGGAGCUAAUACCGGAUAAUAUUUUGAACCGCAUGGUUCAAAAGUGAAAGACGGUCUUGCUGUCACUUAUAGAUGGAUCCGCGCUGCAUUAGCUAGUUGGUAAGGUAACGGCUUACCAAGGCAACGAUGCAUAGCCGACCUGAGAGGGUGAACGGCCCAACUGGAACUGAGACACGGCCCAGACCCCUACGGGGGGCAGCAGUAGGGAAUUUUCCGAAAUGGGCGAAAGCCUGACGGAGCAACGCCGCGUGGGGGAUGAAGGUCUUCGGAUCGUAAAACUCUUUUAUUAGGGAAGAACAUAUGUGUAAGUAACUGUGCAAAUCUGGACGGUACCUAAUAAGAAAGCCCCGGCUAACUACGU